GAGUUUUUCCAAAUUUUCAAUUUUCUUAAUCUGCCUAUUUUUGUUCAUCUGAUUUGGUUCUUGAUAAGACACAUAGCAUACACCCAAGGAAAUGUGUACUACAUGCACAAUAAAUUUUGAAGUCAUACGCAAUAAAUUUCACAAUAAUUUUUGAAGUCAUAUACAAUAAAUUGCACUAUUUUGAUAUUUUUUUUGGUUUUUGCUUCAUUGAACCCAUGAGUGGUUGAU
rnacentral:misc_RNA from 1 species